CAAAAAAGAGGAGAGGACAAUGCAGAGUUAAGAUGGCCGCCACAAUUGCUGGAAUGCAGUUAAAUGCAUAAAUAUGGCCACUGGGCCAAAACUAGAAAUGGACCCAUUGCGCCAUCAGACUUCAGAAAGAGGAUUGGAAGAUGCCUCGAUUUAAAGGGAACUGGAUGGAGGCAUGAAACACACACCUAUAUUGGAAGGUGGACAUAAUGAUGGGAUAUUUAAAGGACUCUCAAUACAGGGAUGCUUUAUGCACUGAGGAACCAUGUAGUUGGCUUUCGCAGAAGCCGAAC